UUGCCGGACCUGACGCUCCGAAGCCGCUUGGAGAGAAGAAAUGCAGUACCUUUUCAGUGGCUUUGAGCAUCGUUGUCACGUAAACGGAUACCAAAAAAGAAAUCACAGUUUUGCCUUUUCAUUGGAAACGUUGUAUAAACAGGAUCUAAAUCUCUCAACUUCAGAUUUCAUGCUGCUCAGCAGAUCUGCCAACUUUUGACUUCAGGACUGAGAUGUUUUAUGCUUCAUGCGUACGAACCUGGGAGAACGUCAUAAUAUUUAUAUAGUGAUCCAUCGUGUGGUGCUGGAGCCCGUCCUAUCAUACAAUGGGCGAUAUCUUUGGAAGUGGUCAGCGGAGUGAUAUCCCAUGCACCGGCUGGAGAGGAGGAGUGGAGGACGUGCAGAGAAGCACGGCUUGGAGCGAUUCCCAAGAUUACAGGAUGAUUGUGAGAGGAAACCACAACUGCAAAAAGCAUCUGUUCCAAAUCGGGAGGAUGGCUUUUGAUGUGGACACCGACCGUGAGGGUUUCCGCAAGAUUCAGGAAACCUGGCCACCGACGCAGAGAGCGAGAAGAAAUGGGAAAUCUUUGGUGAUGGGGCUGAGGUCGGGCGAGGCAAGUCAAAUUCAGACGCAUCAAACACUGGAAAGCACUAAUUUUGGGACUCGUGUGAAAUAAUGUUAUUCCAUUCAUUUAAUACUGGAGAUUUUUAUGUGACCUUCUAAUCAUGAGCUGCGAUCUGUGUGAUUGUCAUGAUUCAUGAGGAAAGAGUAAAGUCAUAAUCACAACCCUUCAAGCAUCUCAAGCUUUGACUGUUGAACUGCGGUUUUUAAUAAUAUUGUAAAAAUCUCCACGACAAAGCGGAAAAUUAAAAAAACUGUCGCGUCCUCCCCGGUCGCUCAUAAUUCGGCUCUGCUCCACUGCUCUCCUCUUCCUUUCACGCCAUCCUCAUUUCGAGCCCCGGACUUGGCGACGCUUCACGCCAGAGCAAAACAAUUUAACAACGCGCUAUUUGCAUUUGAGAAGAUUCAUUUUCUGUUGUUUUUUUACGCUCUCCUUUUGUAGUGGGCUGUGAUCGCCUGUCAAAGUUUCCCCACUCACACAGAGAAUAAGGCCUUUCUGGAGCUGACCACUCUGAUGAACAAAAAAAAAAAAAAAAAAAA